rnacentral:lncRNA from 1 species
GGGGGGUAAGAUGUACGCAGUCCAUACCUCUACCUCUGAUGAAGUAGAAAGGCUGUUUCCGAAAGACCCCCGGCUCAAGGCACAAGAUAUCACACAAACACAUAGUAAAGCAUAGAAGCAGAUGACAUAACAUAAAUACGGCACCCAUAAGGAAUAUAAAAUAGAGGAAAGCAGAGGGAAGCACACAGAUUCGUAAUAAGCAUG